rnacentral:misc_RNA from 1 species
AACAAGGCGUACCUGCGGACCUGCGGAGGGAUCAUUACAAAAUCCAAUUUUCUUUUUAAGGUGUCAGCUGAAGCCCUGAUUCGAUCAAUGGGAGAUCUCUCUUUUUCCCUUGUUCCCUUCGGGGCUCGCUGCCCUUAAAAGAAAAAUUACCCAACCUUUGAACACCCUUUGUGCACUGUUGAAACGUCGUCAAAAUGUAUGAGGGGGAGAAGUGUGUGUUUGGUGUUUCCCUCUAGCUAA